rnacentral:rRNA from 1 species
UACGAAGGGGGCUAGCGUUGCUCGGAAUUACUGGGCGUAAAGCGUGCGCAGGCGGUUUGGUAAGACAGAUGUGAAAUCCCCGGGCUUAACCUGGGAAUUGCAUUUGUGACUGCCCGGCUAGAGUGUGUCAGAGGGGGGUGGAAUUCCACGUGUAGCAGUGAAAUGCGUAGAUAUGUGGAGGAAUACCGAUGGCGAAGGCAGCCCCCUGGGAUAACACUGACGCUCAUGCACGAAAGCGUGGGGAGCAAACAGG